CCUUGUUGAUCCUGCCAGUAGCAUAUGCUUGUCUCAAAGAUUAAGCCAUGCACGUGUAAGUACACACGGCUGGUACAGUGAAACUGCGAAUGGUUCAUUCAUUAAAUCAGUUAGGGUUCCUUUGAUCGCUCCAUCUUUUAUUUGGAGAACUGUGGUAAUUCUAGAGCCAAUAUAUGCUGACAAGUGCUGACCUCCUGGGAUGUAUGCAUUUAUCAGACAGAGACCAAUCCGGGCUCGGCGGCCGCUUUAGUGACUUUGGGCCGAUCACACAUCCCUGUGACGGACAUGAUACUUACGGAUGUCUACCCUAUCAACUUUCAAUGGUAAUUUCUGUGCCUACCAUGGUGACCACGGGUAACAAGUAAUCAGGGUUCGAUUCCGAAAAAGGGAGCCUGAGAAACGGCUACCACAUCCAAGCAAGACAGCAGGCGUGCAAAUCACCCACUCCGACUUGGGGAGGUAGUGAUGAAAAAUAACAAUACAGGACUCUUGAGGCCCUGUAAUUGGAAUGAGUACACUAGAAAUCUUUUAAGGAGGAUGCGUUGGAGGGCAAGUCUGGUGCCACAAGCUGUGGUAAUUCCAGCUACAAUACCGUAUAUAUUUAUUGUUGCUGCAGUUAAAAAGCUCAUAUUUGGAUCUAGGGAUUGAGCUGGCGGUUCACCACAAGGCGAGCUACCGCCUGUCCCAGCCCCUGUGUCUCGGUGCCCCCUUGAUGCACUUGACUGAGUGUCCAGGGGUCCGAAGCGUUUACUUAGAGAAAAAAUUAAGAGUGUUCAAAGCAAGCCAGUCGCCAGAAUACUUCAGCUAGGAAUAGUGGAAUAGGAUUCUGGUUCUAUUUUGUUGGUUUUCGGAACUGGCUCAUGAUUAAAAGGGACAGCUGGGUGUAUCCGUAUUGUGCAGCUAGCGAUGAAAUUAUUGGAACGGCGCAAGAUGGACCAAAGUGAACGUAUUUGGCAAAAAUGUUUUCAUUAAUCAAAAACGAAAGUCGGAGGUUUGAAGAUAAUCAGAUACCAUCGUAGUUCCGACCAUAAACAAUGCCAACUAGCGAUCCGGUGGCAUUAUUCCCAUGACCGGCUCAGCAGCUUCCGGGAGACCAACGGGGUCAUUACGAGUUUGGGGGAGCUGUUAGCGCCAUGGCUGCCUCUAAACCUGGGUCCGGUCUGAUUGAAUGGGGACUUACCGGGUCAUUUCGACCUUGGAGGACCCAGUAAAUCCCCAUUCACUAAACCAUUCCCCAUACUCAUUUGAGCCCCCAUAGGGCUCAAUGGGAAUGGGGAAGGCGCUAAUAACGGACCCACAAAUUGUGGGCUUGUUAUUAGCUCCAAGGUCCCUUAACGGGACCCGCAGAGAACGGCUGGUCAGACCAGACGUUCCUGCUGGGACCCACUAAGGGACCUCGGAAUUGGGCGGUAAGGGUUUACCGGCACCGGCAUCUUUACUGGUGCCCAUAAACCCUUAACGCCCAACUCAGAAUGACCCCCCAAGUCUUUAGGUUCCGGGCAGAGUAUGGUUGCAAAGUGGAACGUAAAGAAUCUGAUGGCAGAGUACCACCAGGAUUGGAGCCUGCGCUUAAUUUGACUCAACAUGGGAAACCUCACUGGUCCCGGACACGGAAAGGAUGGACAGAUUUAUAGCUCUUUCUCGAUUCUGUGGGUCGUGGUGCAUGGCCACUCUUAGUUGGCAUUCAACUUCUUAGAGGGACAAGUGGCGUUCAGCCACACGACAUUGAGCAAUAACAGG
rnacentral:rRNA from 1 species